UACGUAGGGGGCGAGCGUUGUCCGGAAUUAUUGGGCGUAAAGCGCGCGCAGGCGGUUCUUUAAGUCCGGUGUUUAAGCCCGGGGCUCAACCUCGGGACGCACGGGAAACUGGGGGACUGAAGUGCAGGAGAGGGAAGCGGAAUUCCACGUGUAGCGGUGAAAUGCGUAGAGAUGUGGAGGAACACCCGUGGCGAAGGCGGCUUCCUGGCCUGUAACUGACGCUGAGGCGCGAAAGCGUGGGGAGCAAACA
rnacentral:rRNA from 1 species